rnacentral:rRNA from 1 species
UACGUAGGUGGCAAGCGUUGUCCGGAAUUAUUGGGCGUAAAGCGCGCGCAGGCGGUCCUUUAAGUCUGAUGUGAAAGCCCACGGCUCAACCGUGGAGGGUCAUUGGAAACUGGGGGACUUGAGUGCAGAAGAGGAAAGCGGAAUUCCACGUGUAGCGGUGAAAUGCGUAGAGAUGUGGAGGAACACCGGUGGCGAAGGCGGCAUCCUGGACCGGCAUUGACGCUGAGGAGCGAAAGCCAGGGGAGUAAACGGG